rnacentral:rRNA from 1 species
UCGCGAAAACUUUGCAAUACACGAAAGUGUGACAGGGCUAUCCCGAGUGCCAUCCGCUGAGGAAGGCUUUUACCCAGUCUAGAACGCUGGGGGAAUAAGGAGAGGGCAAGUCUGGUGUCAGCCGCCGCGGUAAUACCAGCUCUCCGAGUGGUGUGGAUGUUUAUUGGGCCUAAAGCAUCCGUAGCUGGCUGAGUUAGUCCCUUGUUAAAUCCACCGAAUUAAUCGUUGGAUUGCGGGGGAUACUGCUCGGCUAGGGGACGAGAGAGGCAGACGGUAUUUCUGGGGUAGGGGUGAAAUCCUAUAAUCCCAGGAGGACCACCAGUGGCGAAGGCUGUCUGCUAGAACGCGCCCGACGGUGAGGGAUGAAAGCUGGGGGAGCGAACCGGAUUAGAUACCCGGGUAGUCCCAGCUGUAAACGAUGCAGACUAGGUGUUUGGACGGCCACGUGCCGUUCUAGUGCCGCAGGGAA